UACGGGGGGGGUAAGCGUUGUUCGGAAUUACUGGGCGUAAAGGGCUCGUAGGCGGCCAACUAAGUCAUACGUGAAAUCCCUCAGCUUAACUGGGGAACUGCGUGUGAUACUGGAUGGCUUGGAUUUGGGAGAGGGAUGCGGAAUUCCAGGUGUAGCGGUGAAAUGCGUAGAUAUCUGGAGGAACACCGGUGGCGAAGGCGGCAUCCUGGACCAAUAUUGACGCUGAGGAGCGAAAGCCAGGGGAGCAAACGGG
rnacentral:ncRNA from 4 species